ACCCCACCCCAUUAUGUUGAUGGGACACUUGACAGAUUUGGUAGAUCAGCACCCCUGAGGACCCUCAAGUGGAGAAGCAGACCUAAAACAUGCAAGUAGCCCUGGUUUGCGAGUUCCUCAAAGGCAGAGGUGAGACACGAGCGGACAAAACUCAAGGUCACUGCGGUGACCGAAUGAAGGUCACGGGGAAAGGCGGGGCCACGUGCGUCCGCCUCACGCAAGCAGCCACGCACUGACUCUGGGACCAUGCAUAGACUCUUUAAUUUCUCUAGGAUUCAAAUUCCAUGCAGAUGAGGUUGAGCUUGGGUUCGAGGGACCGGAAAGGACACGGAGCGGACGUCUCGUCGGCCACUUGAGCUGGAGGUUCACUGAUCCAAAAAGUACAGCCUCUUGUUCCUGCGCUUCCUGAUCCCUUCGAUGUAUCCCUGCAGCUCUUUAGUCAUGAAGUGGUUCCUGCCAAUCGUGGACCUAUAUGCUAGGGAGAGGGAAGAGCUGAGCUCAGGGCCAUGAACAGCAGCAAAGGGCUUCCCCCAUUUGAGGAACCACAGGUGAUUUGAGGUGGCAUUUAGUGCUGGAUUUGGAUCUGUGUUAGUUUGGGGAAUUUUGGGUCUCCUAGGUGCGAUGUGAAGAAUGGAGGGGAAGAAGGCUGAAGAAGUUGCUGCAAGCCUGAACAGAGGCAGUGAGACCCAACCUCCUCCUGAGCCGCUCACUCUAACUAGUUAUCUGGCCCUUUCUUCCCUCUAUGUGCUCAUAUACCAUGAGCAGAAGGUUACGCAGAUAAUCCAAUAUCCAGUACAUUUACCC
rnacentral:lncRNA from 1 species